rnacentral:lncRNA from 1 species
GUAAUACCUUUCAAGUUGGUCAAAUUUUAACUUUUAUGUUUAUUUUUACUUUUAUUUGUCUGUAUAAAUCCACCUUUUGUUAAUUUAUUUGCUAUUAUAUGGAAGUGCAUUUAAGACAAUAAAAAAAUGAAGGGGCAUGACAGGGCAAAUACGUGUGUGCAGUGCAGCAAAAAAUACAGUAACAUUAGCAAUCUAAGAAAGCAUGUCAUCAAGUUUCAUCAUCAGUAAUGAUGAUUAUCUAGCUUACCUGCAAAUACGACAAAAUAAACAUUAUAAUUUUGCUUGUGACCAGUGUAAAAAACGUUUUACGCAUUUCAGAUUUCAGAAUUUAAAAUUCCGCAUCAGAACACAUAGAAGCUCAAAUAACACUUUAGCUCCAGAUAUUACACACCCCAAUACCUCGACCACUACCAAUGCAAAUCAGUGUGCUUUGUGCAGUGACUUUUAUGCUGAUAGGAAGACCGUUAUAGAACAUUAUAGAGACUUUCAUAACAUUCCUAUUGAACAUAAAAAAUUGACGUUUUAAAGUGAGGAAGAAUUUAUUACUUGGAAGCUUACCUUUGAAAAUGACACAAACUGUAAAUACGUGGUUAACUAUCAGAAAUGUUUUGAAUCACAUGUAGCUGCAAGUUUUAUAUGCCAUCGUUUAGGAAGAUAUGUUCCAGAAGGCAGAAAUAUUCGGCACUUAAAGAUACUAGGAAGUAAGAAAAAAAAUGCACUCUGCCCAGCAAGCAUAAAAAUAAAAAAGCUUAAUAAUAGCACUUGAAAAGUGACCAUUAUGGACAAACAUGUGGGACAUCAGAAUGACAUCGGCCACUUGAAUUUGUCUAAAAUAGAAAGAAAUAAUUUAGCAUUAAAAAUUUCUUCUAAAGUCCCAUUUGAAGAUAUUUUAGACGAAAUUAGAGAUUCAAUCACUGACUCAGAACUAAAACAUCUGCAUCUGCUCACAAAGAAAGAUCUAUAUAGCAUAGAAGCCUGUUUCAAUUUGUGCUCCUCAUCAGUUAGAUAUAAAAACGACAUCAUAAGUGUAAAGUCCUGGAUCAAUGAUAUGCAAAGUAAUGGAGAUGCAGUUCUGUUUUAUAAGCCCUAAGGUUCUGAAAGUGAAGAAUGGCCAAUGCUAAAAAUUGAGGAUUUUGUUUUGAUUAUCAUGACUGCUGCACAAUGUGAAAUGCUUAAAAUUUAUGAGACCGAUUUCAUCUGUAUAGAUGGAACUCAUGGGAUGAAUAACUAUGACUUCGAACUUAUAACUCUCCUUGUUGCUGAUGAUAUUCGUCAGGGAUUUCCUUGCAGUUUUCUUAUGUCAAAUAGGUCUGAUAAAUAAGUUUUAAAAAUAUUUUUUCACAUUGUAAAAUCUCGCCUUGGUACUGCACUUUGCCCAAAUGUCUUUAUGUCAGAUAUGGCAGAAGCUUUCUUCAAUGCAUGGAUUGAAAUAAUGUCUCCACCAAAAUUCAGAUUAUAAUGUUCAUGGCACGUUGACCAGGUGUGGCGUAAGAAUUUAUCAAAAAUCAAACACCAAAGAAAAGCAAGUUUUUAUUUAUAAGAAUUUAAGAGCUGUCUUAGAAGAAAGGGAUGUCACAACUUUUAAUAUUUUAAUUAACAAGUUAUAUACUAUGUUACUUGAAGACCCUGAUACAAUGGAAUUUGCCAACUAUUUUAAUAAGUAUUACAUGUGCUGUGUAGAAUGUUGGGCACACUUCCACCGACUUGGUGCGGGUUUAAAUACAAACAUGCACUUAGAACGUAUGCACAAAACACGAAAAUAUACUUAUUUAAAAGGGAAGAAAGUCAAGCGAUUGGACAAGGCAAUCAACGCAAUAAUGCAAUUUGUAAGAGACAAAUGCAUUGACAGGUUAAUAGUUCUUAACAAGGGGAAGCUGUCCAGUAAGCUGCAAAUAAUUCGGUCCAGGCACAAACAAUGUUUAAAAUUGAGGGAAGAUUUAGUAUACGAGUGUAAAAAUGGAUGGAACAUUGCCUCAGAAACAACAGCAGAAUUAUAUGUUAUCCAGAAGGUUCAACGAGAUUGUAAAUGCCAACUACUGUGCAAUGAAUGUAAAACUUGCAUCCAUCAGUUUUGCUGUUCUUGUCUUGACUCGUCAGUUAAAUACAACAUGUGCAAACAUAUUCAUCUUCUGAUCAGAUAUAUUUCUCAAUAUGUAACUGACUCACUGGAGCAUCCUCAAGAACUUGUAGAUAAAGAUGUCGGCGAGAGUAAUCUAAUCAUAGUGGAAGAGGAACUGCAUACAUUAGAAGCAAAAGCGCAUUGUCAACAUCACAAAAACGCCAACUGUCAAUAAGCACAAAGUUAAAAACUACAUCCUUUGAAUCUAAAAAACGAAGGGUAGCAAGUUUAUUGGCAAAACUGCAACACGUUGUUUCUUUUACUAUAUCAGAUGAAAAUGAAGAGCUUGAUGCUAUAGAAAAAGCACUAGUUCCAAUCAAGCACACGUUAAGAGCCCUGAAAAACAGCAAAUGCAUUCCAAGAGCUAAAAACAAAAAACCACAGGAACCACACAACAAAAAUAUCAGGAAGCAACGAUUUUUCUCGACACGAAAAAAGCAUAAGCCCAAAAAUAGAAAAGUGAGACUUGAGACAGCUUCAAAUGAAACAGCACUACACUUAAUUUGCCUUUAAUAAGCAGAUUUUCUUGUCAAGGACAUGAAGGGUGAAAAUCUUGAUGCCC